UUCCGAUCUUAUUAUUAAUUUUAUUAAAUAUAAAUUGGUAAAGUGAAAUUGCUUUUUAUUGAUUAAGAAUUGAGWUUUUUGUAUGAAGCUUUGAAAUUAAAAUAAUAAACUAGGAUUAGAUACCCUAUUAUAUUUAAUGUUAAUUUAUUACUGGGGUAAUAAUAGUAAGUUCUUAAAACCCAAAGAAUUUGGCGGUGUUUUAGUCUUUUCAGAGGAAUCUGUUCUGUAAUUGAUAAUACACGAUUUGUUUUACUUAAUUUUGUUAUCAGUUUAUAUACCGUCGUCAUAAGAUUAUUUUUAUUUAAGAAUAUUUUCUUGUUUUUUAAUUAUAAAAUAUGUCAGAUCAAGGUGUAGCUUAUAAUUAAGUGGAGAUGGAUUACAAUAAUAAUAAUUAUAUGAAUAAUUAUUUUAGAUUAAUUUGAAGGUGGAUUUGAUUGUAAAUUUAUUUUUAAUUUUUAUGUUGAUUAAAGCUCUAGAAUGUGCACAUAUCGCCCGUCGCUCUCAUUAUUUUAAAAUGAGAUAAGUCGUAACAUAGUAGAUGUACUGGAAAGUGUAUCUAGAAUGU
rnacentral:rRNA from 1 species